rnacentral:rRNA from 1 species
AUACAGAGGGUGCGAGCGUUAAUCGGAAUUACUGGGCGUAAAGCGCGCGUAGGCGGUCUAUUAAGUCAGAUGUGAAAUCCCAGGGCUCAACCUUGGAACUGCAUCUGAUACUGGUAGACUAGAGUUUUGGAGAGGGAAGUAGAAUUUCAGGCGUAGCGGUGAAAUGCAUAGAGAUCUGAAGGAAUACCAGUGGCGAAGGCGACUUCCUGGCCAAAAACUGACGCUGAGGUGCGAAAGCGUGGGUAGCAAACGGGAUUAGAUACCCUAGUAGUCC